CGCGCACAGCCUCCGGCCUGGCGCGGAGCUCCAUUCGGUCCUUGCCAGCAGCCUGUUCUGCGGGCGGUCCCGGAUCGGGCUCCAGAGAAGAAAGUUCCAGGGCCACCCAGCGACUCCCAGGCUAAUGGGACUUGGUCUCUAGGUGGUCCCGGGUGCCGCCUGGGGGACCGACGACGCGCGCGCUCCGGGUCCCGCGCCCGUGCCGCGGGAGCCCCCCCCCCCGCCAGUUCUCGUCCGUGGGGUGAGCAGAGCCGCCCGGCGCACCCCUGGGGCCGGGCAGCCGGGUCCCAGAGCAGUGGACGCACUGCAGAGCUAGGACCACGCGGGGUUAGAUUUUGGCGACAUCUCAGAGAGCGUCCAACUUUUUCAAAAGAGCAGCCGGGCAACCCACAGGGGUGUUAGGCGUCUCGUUCAGAGUCCUGGAGUUCAAAGUGAGAACGGACCUCAGCCCCUUACAGGUUUCUUUAGCCAAGGCCUUCGCUCUCGGCCUGAAAUCGCCCAGAAAGGGUGUUUGUUGGUUGGUUUCCAUCGUUGUUUUUAGCUCCCUUAUUCGCUCCCAGAGAUCCGCAGAGCUGUGUGCGAUCUGGCGUCCUGGCCUCUGGUCCGCGUCCGGGCUGCUGUGUCCACGUCCACACUCGGAUGCCCUCCCCGGGCCGGGUUAAAAGCCCCUUCGCGGCUGCAGCCUUCAGCUAUAAGGUUCACCCUGCACUCCUAACAGCACCCUCCCUGCCCUGGCCCAGCCUCCCCCCCUCAAGACGUAUCUUCUGAGAAUUUCUCCAGCUCUUCUCCCCAGAACCCCACCCCAGCCGUCCGAAAAGCGUUCUACCCUUAGCUCGCUUUUCUCGGAGGGUGGAGAGGCCGGUAGAGCGCAGACUGACUUUUCCUCCUUCCAGAGCAAGGACGGGAGCCAGGCUGCCUCGGUUCACCAGCUGUGACCUUGGGCACCUUCCUGGGCCAGCCCAGUCUUCUCAUCUGUCAAAUGAGACUGAUACCUUCCUGGGGUUGCUGUGACGAUUGAAUGAGUUACUACACAUAAAGUGCCAGAAAAGUGCCUGACGACGCACAGUAUGCCCUUUCACGUGUUAGCUCUUAUUACUGUCGUUCUUACUUCUUGCUGAGUUAAUACUGUCUUCCGUGCAGGGAUGUCCUAAGGAUCCCGGGUACUAGGAAGGAUAAAACACCUGGUGGCAGGUGGGCACACAUUAGGGGCUCACUGAAUGAGAGUUCUUACUGUUCUAUCAUCCUUGUUCCCAGCUACUGAAGCUCAUCUGUCACCUGUAAUCUGAGCAUUUGGACAAGUAGACCUAGAGCAGUUGCUAAGAUCAUGGACUUUGGAGCCAGACCUGCUAUGUUCAAAUCCCCUUCUACUCUAUGAUCAAUAUAUGGUCUUACUGGGCAUGAAUAGUCUGCAGCUCAUGACACGUACAACCCCAAGGUGAAUUCAGCAACAUCGGAACUGUCUACAUCCUAUUCAAGGAGACCUGUCCACCAGUCACACACUUGGAUGUCAUGGCGAUGCCGGAUCGGUAUAAAAGUUUCUAAGUGCUUACUCCCAAUUUCUGCACUUACCUGAUUGCAGACAGGGGACAACGAUUCACAGACCAGCUCUAAUAGUGCCUUCUGUGCAAUCUUGGUUUUUGUAAAAUAACAUACGUCUCCGUAAGAAUUCUUUAUUGUACCCCAGGCACAAACAGAUGCUGUAACGCUGUCGGCAAUGAAUGAUUUCCAGAGUCUGUCUAUGCAUGAAAGGUGGUCUGGAGAGAUGAGCCCCGGGUUAGCAGAGUAACACCAAGGGGCUUUGAGUCCUUAGCUGAUUUCAUGGCUUAAAGGCGUUCUACUUGUAGAUUACUUUCCUUUUGGAAUUAAUUUUUGUUUGUAUUCUUCACAUUACAAAUGACUACUUUCCCAGUCUAUACUGGAGUCAAAGAGUAGUUUCUAGUUCUGGUUGAGCCAAUAAAUUAUUUCUAAAAGUACAAUGAAAUUAAGAUAAUUCAGACCAUUUCCUGGCUGUAAAAUGCAAUGAGUUCAAGUUCUCUUUUCCUUUAAAUACAAAAAUAAAAUGUAUAAAUUA